AGAGUUUGAUCCUGGCUCAGAACGAACGCUGGCGGCGUGGAUUAGGCAUGCAAGUCGAACGAGAAUCUGGAGGUUCAAGUUUUCGGACAAGAACUUUCGGAGGAAAGUGGCGGAAGGGUGAGUACAACAUGGAUAAUCUACCUUCAAGUUGGGUAUAGCUUCCCGAAAGGGGAGAUAAUCCCGAAUGUGGUGAUCCGGCGCCUGUCGGAGAAUCCAAAGGUGGGGACCGCAAGGCCUGCCGCUUGAAGAUGAGUCCGUGCACUAUCAGCUAGUUGGUGAGGUAAUGGCUCACCAAGGCGAUGACGGUUAGCUGGUCUGAGAGGAUGGUCAGCCACACUGGGACUGAGAUACUGCCCAGACUCCUACGGGAGGCUGCAGUCGAGAAUCAUUCGCAAUGGGCGCAAGCCUGACGGUGCGACGUCGCGUGGAGGAUGAAGGUCUUCGGAUUGUAAACUCCUGUCAUGUGGGAUAAAUGGCCAGGGCAUGAAUAGUGCCUUGGAAUGAUAGUACCACAGGAGGAAGGGACGGCUAACUCUGUGCCAGCAGCCGCGGUAAUUCAGAGGUCCCGAGCGUUGUUCGGAUUUACUGGGCGUAAAGGGAGCGUAGGCGGUUUGGUGUGUCGAAUGUGAAAGCCCACAACUCAACUGUGGAAUGGCAUUCGAAACUACUGAGCUAGAGUACUGGAGAGGAGAGCGGAAUUCUUGGUGUAGCGGUGAAAUGCGUAGAUAUCAAGAGGAACACCGGUGGCGAAGGCGGCUCUCUGGACAGAUACUGACGCUGAGGCUCUAAAGUUAGGGGAGCAAACAGGAUUAGAUACCCUGGUAGUCCUAACCAUAAACGGUGUACACUUGGUGUGCGAGGAAUUGUCCCUUUGCGCGCCGCAGCUAACGCGAUAAGUGUACCGCCUGGGGAGUACGGUCGCAAGAUUAAAACUCAAAGGAAUUGACGGGGACCCGCACAAGCGGUGGAGCAUGUGGCUUAAUUCGAUGCAACGCGAAGAACCUUACCUGGACUUGACAUGCAAGUAGUAGGAACCUGAAAGGGGGACGAUCCGUAGCAAUACGGAAGCUUGCACAGGUGCUGCAUGGCUGUCGUCAGCUCGUGCCGUGAGGUGUUGGGUUAAGUCC
rnacentral:rRNA from 1 species